AACGCAUCUUGCGCUUGCUGGUAUUCCGGCAAGCAUGCCUGUUUGAGUGUCAUGAAACUUAUCAACCGUGACUUGGGUUUAGGCCCCUGGCUCGGCUUGGAUUUGGGUGCUUGCGGCCUUGCGUCGCUCACCUUAAAAGGAUUAGCUGGACAUGUCGUGAGACUUGGUUCUACUUGGCGUAAUAAGUAUUUCGCUGAGGACAUCCCCUCGUGGGGUGGCCAUGACUCUGGUACAGACGUCUGCUUUCUAACCCGAUCGUCCUCGGACAUCACUUUUUAUGAUCUGGCCUCAAAUCAGGUAGGACUACCCGCUGAACUUAA
rnacentral:misc_RNA from 1 species